UGGAUCCAGACUUUGAUUCUGGCUCAGGAUGAACGCUAGCUACAGGCUUAACACAUGCAAGUCGAGGGGCGGCGGGAUUGAAGCUUGCUUCAAUUGCCGGCGACCGGCGCACGGGUGAGUAACGCGUAUCCAACCUUCCGUACACUCAGGGAUAGCCUUUCGAAAGAAAGAUUAAUACCUGAUGGUAUGAUGAGAUUGCAUGAUAGCAUCAUUAAAGAUUUAUCGGUGUACGAUGGGGAUGCGUUCCAUUAGGUAGUAGGCGGGGUAACGGCCCACCUAGCCAACGAUGGAUAGGGGUUCUGAGAGGAAGGUCCCCCACAUUGGAACUGAGACACGGUCCAAACUCCUACGGGAGGCAGCAGUGAGGAAUAUUGGUCAAUGGACGAGAGUCUGAACCAGCCAAGUAGCGUGAAGGAUGAAGGUCCUACGGAUUGUAAACUUCUUUUAUAAGGGAAUAAACCCUCCCACGUGUGGGAGCUUGUAUGUACCUUAUGAAUAAGCAUCGGCUAACUCCGUGCCAGCAGCCGCGGUAAUACGGAGGAUGCGAGCGUUAUCCGGAUUUAUUGGGUUUAAAGGGAGCGCAGACGGGUCGUUAAGUCAGCUGUGAAAGUUUGGGGCUCAACCUUAAAAUUGCAGUUGAUACUGGCGUCCUUGAGUGCGGUUGAGGUGUGCGGAAUUCGUGGUGUAGCGGUGAAAUGCUUAGAUAUCACGAAGAACUCCGAUUGCGAAGGCAGCACACUAAUCCGUAACUGACGUUCAUGCUCGAAAGUGUGGGUAUCAAACAGGAUUAGAUACCCUGGUAGUCCACACGGUAAACGAUGGAUACUCGCUGUUGGCGAUAUACUGUCAGCGGCUUAGCGAAAGCGUUAAGUAUCCCACCUGGGGAGUACGCCGGCAACGGUGCAACUCAAAGGAAUUGACGGA
rnacentral:rRNA from 1 species